rnacentral:rRNA from 1 species
UGGAAACACGCUUCCCUUCGGGGCUACUUACAAGGUGCUGCAUGGUUGUCGUCAGCUCGUGCCGUGAGGUGUCGGGUUAAGUCCCAUAACGAGCGCAACCCCUACCGUUAGUUGCCAUCAGGUCAUGCUGGGAACUCUAGCGGGACUGCCACCGUAAGGUGAGAGGAAGGUGGGGAUGACGUCAAAUCAGCACGGCCCUUAUGUCCAGGGCUACACACGUGUUACAAUGGCCGGUACAAUGGGCAGCUACGCCGCGAGGCGAUGCUAAUCUCCAAAGCCGGUCUCAGUUCGGAUCGGAGUCUGCAACUCGACUCCGUGAAGUUGGAUUCGCUAGUAAUCGUAGAUCAGCCAUGCUACGGUGAAUACGUUCCCGUGCCUUGUACACACCGCCCGUCAAACCAUGGAAGCUGGGGGGACCUGAAGUCUGUCACCGCAAGGAGCGGCCUAGGGUAAAACCGGUAACUGGGGUUAAGUCGUAACAAGGUAGCCGUACCGGAAGG